rnacentral:rRNA from 1 species
CACUCCUUCCCAUUUCGAACAGGAAAGUUAAGGUCUAUAGCGCCGAUGGUACUGCAUGGGAGACUGUGUGGCAGAGUAGGACGUUGCGAGGU